UGGAGACUCAGGACAAAAUGAAGAAAUGGAUCAGGGGGAUGAUGAAGAUUGUCAUGACAAUGGAGUUGACUCUGGAGGAGAUGAUGAAGAUGAUGAUUUUCAGCAUGGUGAUGGGGAGGAAGGAGAUGAACCAGAUGAUAAUUACCGGGGAUUCAGCCUUGAAGAUGGAAAUCUUCCAAUUUAUCCAGAUGCACCCAUCACCAAGUCACAGAGUCUACUGCUGAUAGUGUCCUGUGUCUUGCGGCAUGGUCUUUCUGAUAGUUCUUUGGAUGAUCUUCUUUCUUUGAUGAAUAUACACUGUCCAAACAGUGUUCCUGCUGUACAAGAGUGUUGAAGAUUCAAUGUACGAGGUUCACUGUUAUUGCAUGGAGUGUACUGCAUAUCUUGGCCCCAAGAAAUUGUCAAGGAAUUGUACAAACUGCGGCAAUGAAUUCAGUGCAGACA